rnacentral:rRNA from 1 species
CUUGUAAUUGGAAUGAUGGUGACCCAAACCCUCACCAGAGUAGCAAUUGGAGGGCAAGUCUGGUGCCAGCAGCCGCGGUAAUUCCAGCUCCAAUAGCGUAUAUUAAACUUGUUGCAGUUAAAAGGCUCGUAGUUGAAUUUUAGCGUGUUCGAGUUUGCCAUUCGUUUGGCUUUUUCGAGUUCGCUUUUGGGUUUUCCCUUUUUACUUUGAGAAAAUUAGAGUGUUUCAAGCAGAC